GAUGAACGCUCGCGGCAGGCCUAACACAUGCAAGUCGAGGGCUGAGCGGUGUAGCUUUACCUGAAAUAACGGGCCGACGGGUGCGUAACGCCUACGCUACCCACCCUAUAAAGGCGGAUAACCUUCGGAAACGAGGAUAUAUUCUCCAUAAGAUGCCUCAGAUGCAUCUUUAAGCAAUUAAAGUCGCAAGGCGGUAUAGGAUGUGCGUGCGUCCGAUUAGCUAGUUGGUGAGGUAACGGCUCACCAAGGCGAGGAUCGGUAGGGGUUCUGAGAGGAAGAUCCCCCACACGGGCACUGAGAUACGGGCCAGACUCCUACGGGAGGCAGCAGUAAGGAAUAUUGGACAAUGGGCGAAAGCCUGAUCCAGCCAUGCCGCGUGCAGGAAGACGGCCCUAUGGGUUGUAAACUGCUUUUGAGAGGGAGAAAUAAGGGCUACGCGUCGCUUGAUGACGGUACUUUGCGAAUAAGCAUCGGCUAACUUCGUG
rnacentral:rRNA from 1 species